ACUCCUACGGGAGGCAGCAGUGGGGAAUCUUGCGCAAUGCGCGAAAGCGUGACGCAGCAACGCCGCGUGGGGGAAGAAGGCCUUCGGGUUGUAAACCCCUUUCAGGAGGGACGAAGGUACGGCGGCGAACAGCCGACCGUACUGACGGUACCUCCACAAGAAGCCCCGGCUAACUACGUGCCAGCAGCCGCGGUAAUACGUAGGGGGCAAGCGUUGUCCGGAAUCAUUGGGCGUAAAGCGCGCGUAGGCGGCCCGGUAAGUCCGCUGUAAAAGUCCAGGGCUCAACCCUGGAACGCCGGUGGAUACUGUCGGGCUAGAGUCCGGAAGAGGCGAGUGGAAUUCCUGGUGUAGCGGUGGAAUGCGCAGAUAUCAGGAGGAACACCGAUGGCGAAGGCAGCUCGCUGGGACGGUACUGACGCUGAGGCGCGAAAGCGUGGGGAGCAAACAGGAUUAGAUACCCUGGUAG
rnacentral:rRNA from 1 species